CCUGAGAAACCCAAAAGAUCGAAUGGGGAGAUUCAUCGUCAGCACAUUUGGUAUAUAUAUUAGUUAUGAUACAGAGUAGCUAUCUUUAUGGUAAUUGCUUUGUACGUACUUAAUAUAUUUUGUCGCUAGAUGUUGUCGGCGUGCACUUCUCCCCUAGUAGGACGUCGCGACCCGUUGGGUGUUGGUCUAUGGCCCAGAUGGGAGUCUUUGAUUUAUUUGAAUCAAAGACCACUGGUGUACCUGAUCGGCUGCCCGGCGGUAUUCGCACGGUAUUGAGUCGCAAUAUUUUAAUAUAUGCGUUAAGUCUAUUGCAAGCGCGGCUAGUAUCCCGGUAGUGCGGAUUUAAUGCCGUUAUUGGGGCUAGCCAGCUGUUGGUUAAUAGAAUUCUUUAACUGACUCAAAUAUUAUUUACCGGUCGGCGACGCUACUGCUUUGGGUACUUUCAGGACCCGUCUUGAAACACGGACCAAGGAGUCUAACAUGUGCGCAAGUCAUUGGGAUUUAUUUUUUAAAAUUAAACCUAAAGGCAUAAUGAAAGUAAAGGUCGUCCUUGUGUCGACUGAGGGAGGAUGGGUUGCAUUACGAUGUCAGCUCCGCACUCCCGGGGCGUCUCAUUCUCAUUUAUGAGGAGAGGCGCACCCAG
rnacentral:rRNA from 1 species